GUGAAGUCGUAACAAGGUAGCCGUAUCGGAAGGUGCGGCUGGAUCACCUCCUUUCUAAGGAAAUGGAAACCUGUACGUCAGUCUUCUUUAAUUUUGAGAGGUCUUGUGGGGCCUUAGCUCAGCUGGGAGAGCGCCUGCUUUGCACGCAGGAGGUCAGCGGUUCGAUCCCGCUAGGCUCCAUUAACAACGGAAGUUGUUAAGAUUUUGUCCAUUGAAAAUUGAAUAUCUAUCAAACAUUCCUAAACGUAUGUAAAAGUACGUAUAGAAAUAGUAACAAGAAAAUAAACCGAAAACGCUGUGAAUAUUUAAUGAGUUUUCUAAUUUUUGAAAAAAUUAGGUUAAAACAAGUUACGAAGACGUUAAGGAAAACGUAUGAUUUUAGGAAAUCAUCGCAGUAGUCUAAGGACUACAAGAGGAUUUGUCUAAAUCACUAGUUUUCUAGUCUGAGUACGAUUAUAA
rnacentral:misc_RNA from 1 species